rnacentral:lncRNA from 1 species
UUUUUUUUUUUUUUUUAAAGCAAUUUAUUGGAUUUUACAAUAGGAAUAAAUGUAAUAAACAAUAUAACAUUCGUCUUAACAUAAUUUCACAUUUUCUUUGGACUUCCUCACAUCUCCCGCUCCCACCUUCAUCAUUAUAACAUUUUGUCAGCAAUUUAUCAUCUUAUUUAAAUUCUUAUAUCUCUUCGAUAUUUCAUAAUCUUAUAGUUCUCAUAAAGAGUUAAACUUUCACAGUUUUUCUUAUUUUCUUAAAAACUUCUAAGUUAAGUGGUGCUCAGUUAUUUAGUCUAGCAUCUUAUUCAGCAUUCAGUCAAAUCACAAUGUUUUUGUAGGUAGUUCUUAAAUUUCUUCCAAUCCUCCUCGAUUCUCUCUUCUCCCAGGUCACGGAUUCUGCCAGUCAUUUCAGCCAGUUGCAUAUAGUCUAUCAGUUGCAUCUGCCAUUCUUCCAGUGUGGGUAGAUCUUGAGUUUUCCAAUGUUUUGCGAGUAGUAUCCUUGCUGCUGUUGUUGCAUACAUA